GGAGCCAGCCGCCUAAGGUGGGACAGAUGAUUGGGGUGAAGUCGUAACAAGGUAGCCGUAUCGGAAGGUGCGGCUGGAUCACCUCCUUUCUAUGGAGA
rnacentral:rRNA from 1 species